rnacentral:rRNA from 1 species
UACGUAGGGUGCGAGCGUUUGUCCGGAAUUACUGGGCGUAAAGAGCUCGUAGGUGGUUUGUCGCGUUGUUCGUGAAAAACUCACAGCUCAACUGUGGGCGUGCGGGCGAUACGGGCAGACUAGAGUACUGCAGGGGAGACUGGAAUUCCUGGUGUAGCGGUGAAAUGCGCAGAUAUCAGGAGGAACACCGAUGGCGAAGGCAGGUCUCUGGGCAUUAACUGACGCUGAGGAGCGAAAGCAUGGGGAGCGAACAGG